AAGACCUUUUGGAGUUGGUUACACCAAAAAAAAAUGUAAAAUGAAAAAAAUAUAUAUUUGGGGUGUUCGGGCUUCCUGAAGGUAAUACCCGGGUAUUAGGUAAUGGGGCUAGGGUAAGGUUUAAGGUUUUUGGCGUGAGGGUUAAAAUCACUGUCCAAAACCUUUGUAGGACCUCUUUUCCAACCUUUUGGUGUUAGUUAGACCAAAAAAAAACGAAAAUUGAAAAAAAAAUAUUUGGGGUUUUUGGGCUUCCUGAAGGUAAUACCCGGGUAUUAGGUUAUGGGGCUUUGGAAAGGUUUAAGGUUUUUGGCGUGAGGGUUAAAAUCACUGUCCAAAACCUUUGUAGGAAGUCUUUUCCAACCUUUU